UACAGAGGGUGCAAGCGUUAUUCGGAAUUAUUGGGCGUAAAGGGCGCGUAGGCGGCUUGGCAAGUGGAAGGUGAAAUCCCUCGGCUUAACCGAGGAACUGCCUUCCAGACUGUUAGGCUUGAGACCGGGAGAGGUGAGUGGAAUUCCCAGUGUAGCGGUGAAAUGCGUAGAUAUUGGGAGGAACACCAGUGGCGAAGGCGGCUCACUGGACCGGUACUGACGCUGAGGCGCGAAAGCGUGGGGAGCAAACGGG
rnacentral:rRNA from 1 species